rnacentral:rRNA from 1 species
UACGUAGGGUGCAAGCGUUAAUCGGAAUUACUGGGCGUAAAGCGUGCGCAGGCGGUUUGUAAGACUGUCGUGAAAUCCCCGGGCUCAACCUGGGAAUGGCGAUGGUGACUGCAAGGCUAGAGUUUGGCAGAGGGGGGUAGAAUUCCACGUGUAGCAGUGAAAUGCGUAGAUAUGUGGAGGAACACCGAUGGCGAAGGCAGCCCCCUGGGUCAAAACUGACGCUCGAUGCACGAAAGCGUGGGGAGCAAACAGG